GAUGAACGCUGGCGGCGUGCUUAACACAUGCAAGUCGAACGAAGCAUUUAAAACAGAUUAUUUCGGUAUGAAGUUUUUUAUGACUGAGUGGCGGACGGGUGAGUAACGCGUGGGUGACCUGCCUUGUACUGGGGGAUAGCAGCUGGAAACGGCUGGUAAUACCGCAUAAGCGCACGGUGCUGCAUGGCACAGUGUGAAAAACUCCGGUGGUAUAAGAUGGACCCGCGUCUGAUUAGCUAGUUGGUGAGAUAACAGCCCACCAAGGCGACGAUCAGUAGCCGACCUGAGAGGGUGACCGGCCACAUUGGGACUGAGACACGGCCCAGACUCCUACGGGAGGCAGCAGUGGGGAAUAUUGCACAAUGGAGGAAACUCUGAUGCAGCGACGCCGCGUGAGUGAAGAAGUAAUUCGUUAUGUAAAGCUCUAUCAGCAGGGAAGAUAGUGACGGUACCUGACUAAGAAGCUCCGGCUAAAUACGUGCCAGCAGCCGCGGUAA
rnacentral:rRNA from 1 species